UACGAAGGGGGCUAGCGUUGCUCGGAAUCACUGGGCGUAAAGGGUGCGUAGGCGGGUCUUUUAAGUCAGGGGUGAAAUCCUGGAGCUCAACUCCAGAACUGCCUUUGAUACUGAAGAUCUUGAGUUCGGGAGGGGUGAGUGGAACUGCGAGUGUAGAGGUGAAAUUCGUAGAUAUUCGCAAGAACACCAGUGGCGAAGGCGCUCACUGGCCCGAUACUGACGCUGAGGCACGAAGGCCAGGGGAGCAAACGGGG
rnacentral:rRNA from 1 species